rnacentral:tRNA from 1 species
UCUGGGGUGAUGCUCAGUGGUAGAGUUCAUGCUUACUUAGCAUUAACCCUGGUUUCAAUUCCCAACACCAAGAA